CUACUUUCCAAUUAAUGCAUUUAUGGAAACUAUUAAUAACUGAUAACAAGAUUGUAACCGUGUAUUUAAUAGCAGAAAACGCACAUAUAUUAAAUGAUUGUGCUGCCAGUCAGUAGCCAGAGUCCGUCUGUCCUGUUAUUACCAGCAUGAAUUGCAUUCAUCUGAGAGAUGUGUGAUUGAGAGUGAGGAGUUCA